UAUUGCGCAAUGGGCGAAAGCCUGACGCAGCGACGCCGCGUGAGGGAUGAAGGUCUUCGGAUCGUAAACCACUGUCAGGAGGGAAGAAGUGGUUAUAUGCGAAUAGUGUAUGACUUUGACGGUACCUCCAAAGGAAGCACCGGCUAACUCCGUGCCAGCAGCCGCGGUAAUACGGGGGGUGCGAGCGUUAAUCGGAAUUACUGGGGGUAAAGCGCUCGUAGGCGGUAUGUCAAGUCAAGGGUGAAAUCCCCGCGCUCAACGUGGGAACUGCCUUUGAAACUGGCAAACUGGAGUGUGUGAGAGGAUAGUGGAAUUCCAGGUGUAGGAGUGAAGUCCGUAGAUAUCUGGAGGAACAUCAGUGGCGAAGGCGACUAUCUGGCACAUAACUGACGCUGAGGAGCGAAAGCGUGGGUAGCAAACAGGA
rnacentral:rRNA from 1 species